rnacentral:rRNA from 1 species
CUACGUGCCAGCAGCCGCGGUAAUACGGGGGGUGCGAGCGUUAAUCGGAAUAACUGGGCGUAAAGGGCACGCAGGCGGUGACUUAAGUGAGAUGUGAAAGCCCCGAGCUUAACUUGGGAAUUGCAUUUCAUACUGGGUCGCUAGAGUACUUUAGGGAGGGGUGGAAUUCCACGUGUAGCGGUGAAAUGCGUAGAGAUGUGGAGGAAUACCGAAGGCGAAGGCAGCCCCUUGGGAAUGUACUGACGCUCAUGUGCGAAAGCGUGGGGAGCAAACAGGAUUAGAUACCCUGGUAGUCCACGCUGUAAACGAUGUCGAUUUGGGGAUUGGGCUUUGAGCUUGGUGCCCGUAGCUAACGUGAUAAAUCGACCGCCUGGGGAGUACGGCCGCAAGGUUAAAACUCAAAUGAAUUGACGGGGGCCCGCACAAGCGGUGGAGCAUGUGGUUUAAUUCGAUGCAACGCGAAGAACCUUACCUACUCUUGACAUCCAUGGAAUCUUGUAGAGAUACGAGAGUGCUUCGGGA